rnacentral:rRNA from 1 species
AGUGAACGCUGGCGGUAGGCCUAACACAUGCAAGUCGAACGGCAGCACAGUAAGAGCUUGCUCUUACGGGUGGCGAGUGGCGGACGGGUGAGGAAUACAUCGGAAUCUACUUUUUCGUGGGGGAUAACGUAGGGAAACUUACGCUAAUACCGCAUACGACCUACGGGUGAAAGCAGGGUAUCUUCGGACCUUGCGCGAUUGAAUGAGCCGAUGUCGGAUUAGCUAGUUGGCGGGGUAAAGGCCCACCAAGGCGACGAUCCGUAGCUGGUCUGAGCGGAUGACACGCCAAACGGGAAUGAGAAACCGGUCAGACCUCCUAGGGAGGGCAGAGGGGGGGAAUUUUGACAAAGGGGGGAAACCUGAUCCAGCCAAACCGGGUGGGGGAAAAAGGCCCUUGGGUUGGAAAGCCCUUUUUUUGGGAAAAAAAAACAGGAGGGUAAAACCCCCCUGUUCUGACGGUACCCAAAAAAAAAGCACCGGCUAAAUUCGUG